rnacentral:rRNA from 1 species
AUUGAACGCUGGCGGCAGGCCUAACACAUGCAAGUCGAGCGGAUGAAGAGAGCUUGCUCUCUGAUUUAGCGGCGGACGGGUGAGUAAUGCCUAGGAAUCUGCCUGGUAGCGGGGGAUAACGUCCGGAAACGGGCGCUAAUACCGCAUACGUCCUACGGGAGAAAGCAGGGGCCCUUCGGGCCUUGCGCUAUCAGAUGAGCCUAGGUCGGAUUAGCUAGUUGGUGAGGGAAUGGCUCACCAAGGCUACGAUCCGUGACUGGUCUGAGAGGAUGAUCAGUCACACUGGAACUGAGACACGGUCCAGACUCCUACGGGAGGCAGCAGUGGGGAAUAUUGGACAAUGGGCGAAAGCCUGAUCCAGCCAUGCCGCGUGUGUGGAGAAGGUCUUCGGAUUGUAAAGCACUUUAAGUUGGGAGGAAGGGCAGUAAGUUAAUACCUUGCUGUUUUGACGUUACCGACAGAAUAAGCACCGGCUAACUUCGUGCCAGCCGCCGCGGUAAAAC